AGCGUACACGGUGGAUGCCCUGGCAGUCAGAGGCGAUGAAGGACGUGCUAAUCUGCGAAAAGCGUCGGUAAGGUGAUAUGAACCGUUACAGCCGGCGAUGUCCGAAUGGGGAAACCCAGUGUGAUUCGUCACACUAUCGUUAACUGAAUACAUAGGUUAACGAGGCGAACCGGGGGAACUGAAACAUCUAAGUACCCCGAGGAAAAGAAAUCAACCGAGAUUCCCCCAGUAGCGGCGAGCGAACGGGGAGCAGCCCAGAGUCUGAAUCAGCUUGUGUGUUAGUGGAACGGUCUGGAAAGUCCGACGGUACAGGGUGAUAGUCCCGUACACCAAAAUGCACAGGCUGUGAACUCGAAGAGUAGGGCGGGACACGUGGUAUCCUGUCUGAAUAUGGGGGGACCAUCCUCCAAGGCUAAAUACUCCUGACUGACCGAUAGUGAACCAGUACCGUGAGGGAAAGGCGAAAAGAACCCCGGCGAGGGGAGUGAAAAAGAACCUGAAACCGUGUACGUACAAGCAGUGGGAGCACCUUCGGGUGUGACUGCGUACCUUUUGUAUAAUGGGUCAGCGACUUAUAUUCUGUAGCAAGGUUAACCGUAUAGGGGAGCCGCAGGGAAACCGAGUCUUAACUGGGCGUUAAGUUGCAGGGUAUAGACCCGAAACCCGGUGAUCUAGCCAUGGGCAGGUUGAAGGUUGGGUAACACUAACUGGAGGACCGAACCGACUAAUGUUGAAAAAUUAGCGGAUGACUUGUGGCUGGGGGUGAAAGGCCAAUCAAACCGGGAGAUAGCUGGUUCUCCCCGAAAGCUAUUUAGGUAGCGCCUCGUGAAUUCAUCUUCGGGGGUAGAGCACUGUUUCGGCUAGGGGGUCAUCCCGACUUACCAACCCGAUGCAAACUACGAAUACCGAAGAAUGUUAUCACGGGAGACACACGGCGGGUGCUAACGUCCGUCGUGAAGAGGGAAACAACCCAGACCGCCAGCUAAGGUCCCAAAGUCAUGGUUAAGUGGGAAACGAUGUGGGAAGGCACAGACAGCCAGGAUGUUGGCUUAGAAGCAGCCAUCAUUUAAAGAAAGCGUAAUAGCUCACUGGUCGAGUCGGCCUGCGCGGAAGAUGUAACGGGGCUAAACCAUGCACCGAAGCUGCGGCAGCGACACUAUGUGUUGUUGGGUAGGGGAGCGUUCUGUAAGCCUGCGAAGGUGACCUGUGAGGGUUGCUGGAGGUAUCAGAAGUGCGAAUGCUGACAUAAGUAACGAUAAAGCGGGUGAAAAGCCCGCUCGCCGGAAGACCAAGGGUUCCUGUCCAACGUUAAUCGGGGCAGGGUGAGUCGACCCCUAAGGCGAGGCCGAAAGGCGUAGUCGAUGGGAAACAGGUUAAUAUUCCUGUACUUGGUGUUACUGCGAAGGGGGGACGGAGAAGGCUAUGUUAGCCGGGCGACGGUUGUCCCGGUUUAAGCAUGUAGGCUGAUUGUCCAGGCAAAUCCGGAUAAUCAAGGCUGAGGUGUGAUGACGAGGCACUACGGUGCUGAAGUAACAAAUGCCCUGCUUCCAGGAAAAGCCUCUAAGCAUCAGGUAACAUCAAAUCGUACCCCAAACCGACACAGGUGGUCAGGUAGAGAAUACCAAGGCGCUUGAGAGAACUCGGGUGAAGGAACUAGGCAAAAUGGUGCCGUAACUUCGGGAGAAGGCACGCUGGUGUGUAGGUGAAGUCCCUGCGGAUGGAGCUGAGACCAGUCGAAGAUACCAGCUGGCUGCAACUGUUUAUUAAAAACACAGCACUGUGCAAACACGAAAGUGGACGUAUACGGUGUGACGCCUGCCCGGUGCCGGAAGGUUAAUUGAUGGGGUUAUCCGUAAGGAGAAGCUCUUGAUCGAAGCCCCGGUAAACGGCGGCCGUAACUAUAACGGUCCUAAGGUAGCGAAAUUCCUUGUCGGGUAAGUUCCGACCUGCACGAAUGGCGUAAUGAUGGCCAGGCUGUCUCCACCCGAGACUCAGUGAAAUUGAACUCGCUGUGAAGAUGCAGUGUACCCGCGGCAAGACGGAAAGACCCCGUGAACCUUUACUAUAGCUUGACACUGAACAUUGAGCCUUGAUGUGUAGGAUAGGUGGGAGGCUUUGAAGCGUGGACGCCAGUCUGCGUGGAGCCAACCUUGAAAUACCACCCUUUAAUGUUUGAUGUUCUAACGUUGGCCCCUUACCGGGGUUGCGGACAGUGUCUGGUGGGUAGUUUGACUGGGGCGGUCUCCUCCCAAAGCGUAACGGAGGAGCACGAAGGUUAGCUAAUCCUGGUCGGACAUCAGGAGGUUAGUGCAAUGGCAUAAGCUAGCUUGACUGCGAGCGUGACGGCGCGAGCAGGUGCGAAAGCAGGUCAUAGUGAUCCGGUGGUUCUGAAUGGAAGGGCCAUCGCUCAACGGAUAAAAGGUACUCCGGGGAUAACAGGCUGAUACCGCCCAAGAGUUCAUAUCGACGGCGGUGUUUGGCACCUCGAUGUCGGCUCAUCACAUCCUGGGGCUGAAGUAGGUCCCAAGGGUAUGGCUGUUCGCCAUUUAAAGUGGUACGCGAGCUGGGUUUAGAACGUCGUGAGACAGUUCGGUCCCUAUCUGCCGUGGGCGCUGGAGAAUUGAGGGGGGCUGCUCCUAGUACGAGAGGACCGGAGUGGACGCAUCACUGGUGUUCGGGUUGUCAUGCCAAUGGCACUGCCCGGUAGCUAAAUGCGGAAGAGAUAAGUGCUGAAAGCAUCUAAGCACGAAACUUGCCCCGAGAUGAGUUCU
rnacentral:rRNA from 1 species